ACGUAGGGAGCAAGCGUUGUCCGGAUUUACUGGGUGUAAAGGGUGCGUAGGCGGCUUUGCAAGUCAGAUGUGAAAUCUAUGGGCUCAACCCAUAAACUGCAUUUGAAACUGUAGAGCUUGAGUGAAGUAGAGGCAGGCGGAAUUCCCCGUGUAGCGGUGAAAUGCGUAGAGAUGGGGAGGAACACCAGUGGCGAAGGCGGCCUGCUGGGCUUUGACUGACGCUGAGGCACGAAAGCGUGGGUAGCAAACAG
rnacentral:rRNA from 1 species